UACGGGGGGGGCAAGCGUUGUUCGGAAUUACUGGGCGUAAAGGGCUCGUAGGUGGCCAACUAAGUCAGACGUGAAAUCCCUCGGCUUAACCGGGGAACUGCGUCUGAUACUGGAUGGCUUGAGUUUGGGAGAGGGACGCGGAAUUCCUGGUGUAGCGGUGAAAUGCGCAGAAUAUCAGGAAGACACCCGUGGCGAAGGCGGCUCUCGUGGGACGGUACUGACGCUGAGACGCGAAAGCGUGGGGAGCGAACAGG
rnacentral:rRNA from 1 species